CGGCCUUGACAUACUAAGAACUUUCCAGAGAUGGAUUGGGUGCCUUCGGGAACUUAGAUACAGGUGCUGCAUGGCUGUCGUCAGCUCGUGUCGUGAGAUGUUGGGUUAAGUCCCGNAACGAGCGCAACCCUUUUCCUAUUUGCCAGCGGGUCAUGCCGGGAACUUUAAGGAUACUGCCAGUGACAAACUGGAGGAAGGCGGGGACGACGUCAAGUCAUCAUGGCCCUUACGGCCAGGGCUACACACGUGCUACAAUGGUCGGUACAAAGGGUUGCUACCUCGCGAGAGGAUGCUAAUCUCAAAAAGCCGAUCGUAGUCCGGAUCGCAGUCUGCAACUCGACUGCGUGAAGUCGGAAUCGCUAGUAAUCGCGGAUCAGAAUGCCGCGGUGAAUACGUUCCCGGGCCUUGUACACACCGCCCGUCACACCAUGGGAGUUUGUUGCACCAGAAGUAGGUAGUCUAACCGCAAGGAGGACGCUUACCACGGUGUGGCCGAUGACUGGGGUGAAGUCGUAACAAGGUAGGCGUAGAUGA
rnacentral:rRNA from 1 species